CUAAACACACCAGCUUCCACCCCUCAGAUGCUUGACCCCAAAUACCGACCCGCUCAGGGACCCGCGCGCUGCGGGCGCCGCUGCAGCCUCUGCCCGGGGCGCGUUGUCCUGGCGCCAGGAGGUCCUGGGGCCGCCCCCGAGGCGGGUUAUUGACAGGGAUUGUUGACUGCCAGUCCUGCCUGCAGCACUGAAAUGGUAUUAGAGCGCAACGGUGCUGAGCCAAUGGUUUGCAGCAGGAUGGGGAGAUGUGUUCAGUGCCCAUCUCUGAGCUGGCUAUUUGCUCCCCAAGCCCGGGAGACCUUAGCUUGUAGCCUAUGAACUUUGGAUGGACCUUUCCCCCCCACUAUUUACCAACAAAUCCAGACAACAGGCCAGGAUUUUACCCGUUUAGCAAUCUGCAAAGACAAUGUUGACUGUUUCAGCACAGAGCCCAGCAGAAGUUCAUGCUCAGGUUGCACAAGGAAAGACCACAGGAUUUAGCAGCGUGCCCCAAAAAGCCAACACAGAGUGUGAACACUGGGAGCCCAAUAAUUAUUUCUGAAUGCCAGAACUACUUUUUGGUUCAGUUUCUCUGAACCAGUCUCUCUUACUCCAAACAUCUGCCACGUGUUGUGUUGUAUUGCUUUGUUUUGUUCUGUGCUGUAGUUGACACUAACAUGUUGUACAGUGCUUUGAGGUCCACAAGAGUGACUGGAAAAUGGAGAGUGAAGAAAAGCUACCUCUCAUGCUUUUAUACUGUCUGUUUGGCUCACCCAGAACACUGGAAGAUGAUGGUAUUACAAAAUAUAAGCAGUUUUCUGGGAGGAGGGACCAGGUACUGGUCAGUUCCUUCAGGUUGCAGAGAAAGCUGCAAGGAGGCUGAGUGGGAGGUGGGAACAGCCACGGACCGGUGGAAGUGCUGGCUCCUGCUGAUGGUAUCUCCAGAUGGCAACUAGGUGUUUUUUGGAAGAUACACCUUAGUGUAAUACAGGCUGUCUCUGUCUCAUGCCAAAGUUACUGGACCAGUAUGGAGGUUACUGGGUAAAACCAGGAGGAAUCUGGAGAGUAUCCAAGACCUUGUGAAUCCAGCGGCAGCACUUCCCGGCGCUGCCCGAGGGCGGGUGUCGGGCGCUGCUGCGGGAGGAACAGGCAGGUUUUCAGCCCUGUCUGCAGAUCAGUGUGAGACCCAUUCAUCACACACCUCCUGCCUAACCACUUCAUGAUUAAAUAUUUACAGUAAGAAUUUAUUCACCAUUAAACCCAUAAAUAUAAGGAUUACAGAGAAAGUCAGAAUGGUUCAGUCAGGAAAGAGCACUAAUUAUUUUCACCCUUGUGGGUUUUUCUGCAUUCAAUACUUGAAUUUCAAAAUGAAAAUAUUUCUAUAAACUCCUGCUUUCAUGUGAGUACAGUUGGUUUAAUUUCUUAUUCAGUGUGCAGCCUGAAAAGGAGAAUAAAUACUCAUCUAAUCAUUUACGUUCAGUGAUAAUUUGGGCCCUGAGCAACAAAGUAUUUAAGCAGACUAUAAAACUUCAGGCAGUCAGCUAUUCCCACCGACUGCAGAAGGAUUAUUCAGAGGCCCAAAGUGAAAAGUUGUUUAUUCAGAGCAGCACAAAGCAAACUCACCUGUGCUGGGACCUGAGUCGUGGUGCCCGAGCUGGGGAGAGGGAUGAUGGGCAUUGAUGAUCUGGGGCUCGGGAAGCAGCUCUGGCCCCAGCAGGAGCCACCGGGACGAGUCCCUGGCUCACAGGGUUUGUGUCACCUGAGAAAUCCACAUCACCUUGUCUGAUACUGCCCUGGUGAUCCAGCCUGGUGUGAGUGUGAGCAUGUGGCAACAGCACCAGGGACCCAAGUUGCUCAUCUUAGUUUUAUUUGAACUUUUAUAAACUUUUAUAAAUAGUAUGAGUGAUGAAAAUUACAUAACUUUAGAAAGUGAUACAGCUGGACUUCUAAAAGACAUUUAAUGAGCUUACAUUACCCAAGGUGCUCUACAACCAACUAUAUUUAAAAUUAAAUACUAAAAAUUUUGGCGUGGAUUAACUGUUUACCUUGCUAGCAAAAAAGCUCCCAUUUAGGGAUUGGUUUUGCUACCAACAGGCACAACCAGGAAGCAAUAUUCCAUCUAAGCUCCUUGCUGAUGAGAAAAUAAUAGGAAAACAGGUCACUGAUGCAUGCCCAGGGGACACUGCUGGGGCUGCUCACCACCGGGCCGGGGAGAUGUGGAGAUCAGGCUGCUCCCGACUGCUGCUCCGGGCUGGAGCAGGGGUGGAAACACCCACCAGCUGCUCCGGGGAGCUGCAGCCACCUCCUGCUCCAGUCCCCUCCCGCCAGGAGAUCGAUGGGAGCCGUUUCCGAACGGGGGGAACAGCUCAGUGAUGAAUGUUGCCGGAAAGCCCAAGCUGACUUUAUCUCCAUGGCCCAAAAAUGCUGAGGCUGGUUCUGUGUCUGGAGGAGCUGUUUUGCUGCCCGGGCGGGGAGGAAAUAAUCUGAGUAACAGGAAGGAGGGGAUUGUCCAGACCUAAGCAGUGGUGCAGUUAUUCUUCCAAAUUUGCACAGCUGAGGUUGGGUUUUUCUAGACAUCCAUCACAUCCCUAAGAAAGAACAUGAUGUUUAGGAUUGUAGGUGUUUUAGGCAUUUAGUGAAUUGGUGGCAUUGCAAGAGAGCGUCAUCCUCAAAAUGUCAAUUUUUCAUCUCCUUGCAGGUCUUCUUCUUUUUUCUCUCCUUUUUAUAGGAAGGGUGAAUAUAAGGAAAGCGAAUGGGAUCUGUAACUGUAGCUCGUUUUCCCUGCACUAUCAAUAUAUGAAUAUCAUGUUCAUAACUAUACCUAAAUAAAUCUAAAACCAUUCAAACUUUACAUGAUGCCAUCAAUAACCCUAUGAAAAUAAAUACAUUUGUGUUUUACUGAGUA